ensembl:lncRNA
UGUACUGUAUGGUGAAGGGAGGGGGGUCUUUGUACUGUACUGGAUGGUGAAGGGAGGGGGGUCUUUGUAUUGUACUGGGUGGUGAAGGGAGGGGGUCUUGUGUACUGUACUGGAUGGUGAAGUGAGGGGAGUCUUUGUACUGUACUGGGUGGUGAAGGAGGGGUUGUCUUUGUACUGUUCUGGGUAUUGAAGGGGGAGUAUUUGUACUUUACUGGAUGUUGAAGGGGGUAUUUGUAUUGUACUGGAUGGUGAAGGGAGAGGGGUCUUUGUACUGUACUGGGUGGUGAAGGGAGGGGGUCUUUAUACUGUACCGGGUGGUGAUAAAACAAUACCCCAGCCUCUUCUAGGGUUGAGAGGUCAUAGCAGUUAGGAUGAUCAAUGGCUGGAAACAUGUAGAACCUCCGAUCCAACGGCA